CAGGCGCACAGCCGCGCAGGCCGCAGGGCCGACAUCGACAGGCGCAGGCACAGGGCCACUGGCCGACCGCCGACAGGCGCACGGGCCGCGCAGGGGCAACUUGCGGAGUUCCGCUCCUACGAGGGGCAGGAGAUGCAGAUCAAGGAGAAGAUUGUGCCUCUCAAGAUUGACCUCCGAGUGAACAACACUGUAAUAAGAGACAAGUUCUUUUGGGAUAUUGGCAACCUUGAUAGUGACCCUGAGGAAUUUGCGAGGACGCUAUGUGACGAUUUGAACAUCGCAGAUCCUGAAGUUGGGCUUGUUUUGGUCCAAUUGUUGAUUUGACGAGUACUCUACAUAUUAUUCUUCAUUUAAGG